rnacentral:tRNA from 1 species
GGGAGUCUGGCCGAGUGGUUAAGGCGCUGUGUUUAGGUGGGACGAAAGUCCAUCCAAACGAUCCAAAAAGAUCCGUAAAGACCGCAGUGGGAAACCGCGCAGGUUCGAAUCCUGCGGCUCUCA